CUGAAUAAAUUAAAUUAUAAUAAAUUAUUUUGUGCAUGCUAAAUGUAUAUUUUUUUUUAAUUUUUGAGAGUUUAUUCACCUUUUAACUACGUUUGUUUUAACAAAACAUAAAUGGGUUCGUACAUGGCCGAGUGGUUAAGGUCGUUGACUUCAAACCACAUGCCCGUCACCGCUAUAAGUUCGUAUCCCGACAGGAAGUUUGGACUCUUCCAUGCGUUGAAGAUAUCCACCUAGCCUGAAAUAAUGCACGGAAGUCCCCUGAGGCAUAGUGCGUCGCUGUGACGUAAUACCCCCCCCCCCAAAAAAAAUAAUAAAACAAACCAAAAUAGACAAACAAACAAAACGUACAUUAAAAGCUACGAGAAAUCAAAAUUGUAUUUCACUUAAAGGUCACUGACGAAAGGUAACCCCAAGUGUAUUUUACGUACUGAUAUCAUGCAUUGAGGGACACACAUUCUCCACCAGGAAAGUUAGACGUCCCCAUAUAUCCUGAACAGUUGAGACUUAUAACUCAAGGCGAAAAAAAUGCUAAGACCAAAAGCAUUAACAAAACGUAUAAUUAGUAACAAUGUUACUUCCUAUAAAAUUAUGUCUAACACGAAGUUUACAUUUUCAUGAGAUUUUGUAUUUUUUCAUUAUGGUAUAUCUUGCCGUUUGUGUUCAAAUUCGUUUUUCUUUUUAAUUUGAAAUAUUGUAUAACAGGGGAAACUACUAUGGUCAAUAUCCAUUUUGGUAUGGAAAACGCUGUGCAAAAUGUGGCAAAACAGAUAUAUGUCAGAAAGGCCUUUGCUGCUCUAAAGCACAAGCUCGCUGAACCCAAUUUUUGCCAAAGGGUAAAAGAGACGAAGAGGAAUUAACAAGCCACGGAAAAUCUCAAACGACAAUACGAAAACGGCCACAUAUUAACAAAAUUUCAGUAUUAAUCCAAAUAAGACAUGACGGUAAAAUAUUACAUAUUGGCCAUAUUCAACAAAAGUAUCAGACGAAAAUAAAGACUUAUGUACUGAAGUAUCUACUACAAAAGAAAAAUGUGUUAGAGAAACAAAUCGUGUCAGACAUUGUAUUGUUAUUGUAUAUGGUGACAAGGUGCUAUAUAUAAGGUUACAAAGAAUUCUAAAGAACGUCCAAAACGGUAAAAUUUAAAAAAUAUUGCAAGGUCAAAACAGUUUGACUGAGCAUGUUCAUGGACAGAACUGGAAAACGUUUGUAUGAAUGCUUUAUAGUAGCAAUAUACCUGCAGAAUACUAAGCUGAACCAUAAAACAUACUUUUCCCUGCUUCUUAAGAUAUAAGAACAAUAUUAAUUGUAACUUCUUAUUAUCAAUUUUCUGAAGAUAUUUUAUUACAUGUAAUAAAAUGAUAUAAUAGAAUAUCUCAAAAGUAAAAGUAAUGUUUUCAGUCUCAUUACUUGUUUUAUAUAAAUUUAUUAACAAUAUAGAAAAGCACCGUAAGUAAAGUUAGAUGAGCACUAUAAAUUGUUUAAUAUCUAUACGGUGUAUCUAUAAUUAGGAAAUGUUAUCAAAUCCUUUAUAUGCAGAAAUUGUUUGACUAUUUUAUAUUUCAUCAGUGUUAAAAUAUUAACAAAGUUGUCAAAAUAAAUUAUGAUGCUAUUUAACCAUU